rnacentral:rRNA from 1 species
GAUUCUUCGGAUGAUCAUUUGGUCAGUGAGCGGCGGACGGGUGAGUAACACGUGGGCAACCUGCCCUGGAGCGGGGGAUAACAUCUGGAAAACAGGUGCUAAUACCGCAUAACAACGAAAACCACAUGGUUUUCGUUUCAAAGAUGGUUUCGGCUAUCACUUCAGGAUGGGCCCGCGGUGCAUUAGCUAGUUGGUAAGGUAACGGCUUACCAAGGCAAUGAUGCAUAGCCGAGUUGAGAGACUGAUCGGCCACAAUGGAACUGAGACACGGUCCAUACUCCUACGGGAGGCAGCAGUAGGGAAUCUUCCACAAUGGGCGCAAGCCUGAUGGAGCAACACCGCGUGAGUGAAGAAGGGUUUCGGCUCGUAAAGCUCUGUUGUUGGAGAAGAACGUGCGUGAGAGUAACUGUUCACGCAGUGACGGUAUCCAACCAGAAAGUCACGGCUAACUACGUGCC